rnacentral:rRNA from 1 species
UGCCAGCAGCCGCGGUAAUACAGAGGGUGCAAGCGUUAAUCGGAAUUACUGGGCGUAAAGCGAGCGUAGGUGGCUUGAUAAGUCAGAUGUGAAAUCCCCGGGCUUAACCUGGGAACUGCAUCUGAAACUGUUAGGCUAGAGUAGGUGAGAGGGAAGUAGAAUUUCAGGUGUAGCGGUGAAAUGCGUAGAGAUCUGAAGGAAUACCGAUGGCGAAGGCAGCUUCCUGGCAUCAUACUGACACUGAGGCUCGAAAGCGUGGGUAGCAAACAGGAUUAGAUACCCUGGUAGUCCACGCCGUAAACGAUGUCUACUAGUCGUUGGGUCCCUUGAGGACUUAGUGACGCAGCUAACGCAAUAAGUAGACCGCCUGGGGAGUACGGCCGCAAGGUUAAAACUCAAAUGAAUUGACGG